AAUCACCUUUGUUAGACAUUGGUGACCUUUGAAAACUUCUUUUGGUUCUUCUAUUUGGUGUUUAGAGCAUAAAUUAUAUAAAUCUUAUAAGAAAAAGGAUUGAAGAAGGAUUUUGGUAGCAAAGGGAGUAAUUAGGGCACCAAUAUAGAUGAAUGGAGAUAAAUAAUGAAAAUCUUCAUUCCUAUUGGUCAAAAAUCAUGACCAAUGGACUUUGAGGAGGCUGCCCAAGGCCAUAUUAGAGAAUUAGGGUUGAUUUCUCAAGGCCAUUUGAACUUUGGAGACUAGGGUUAGAAAGUUUAGGGUUUUGGUGCAAAAUUUGUGUCCUUUGAGGUUUUUAUGAAGAAGUUAUGGACGCUCAAAGUUAAG
rnacentral:lncRNA from 1 species